rnacentral:rRNA from 1 species
GUGGGGAAUAUUGGGCAAUGGGGGCAACCCUGACCCAGCAACGCCGCGUGAGGGAAGAAGGUUUUCGGAUUGUAAACCUCUGUCCUAUGGGAAGAAGGAAGUGACGGUACCAUAGGAGGAAGCCCCGGCUAACUACGUGCCAGCAGCCGCGGUAAUACGUAGGGGGCGAGCGUUGUCCGGAAUUACUGGGCGUAAAGGGUGCGCAGGUGGCCUGACAAGUCAGAUGUGAAAUACCGAUGCUUAACGUCGGGGCUGCAUUUGAAACUAUGAGGCUGGAGUGCAGGAGAGGGAAGCGGAAUUCCUAGUGUAGCGGUGAAAUGCAUAGAUAUUAGGAGGAACACCAGUGGCGAAGGCGGCUUACUGGACCAGAAUUGACGCUGAGGUGCGAAAGCGUGGGGAGCAAACAGGAUUAGAUACCCCGGUAGUCC